AGAGCGAACGCUGGCGGCAGGCUUAACACAUGCAAGUCGAGCGGGCGUAGCAAUACGUCAGCGGCAGACGGGUGAGUAACGCGUGGGAACGUACCUUUUGGUUCGGAACAACCCAGGGAAACUUGGGCUAAUACCGGAUAAGCCCUUACGGGGAAAGAUUUAUCGCCGAAAGAUCGGCCCGCGUCUGAUUAGCUAGUUGGUGAGGUAAUGGCUCACCAAGGCGACGAUCAGUAGCUGGUCUGAGAGGAUGAUCAGCCACAUUGGGACUGAGACACGGCCCAAACUCCUACGGGAGGCAGCAGUGGGGAAUAUGGACAAUGGGCGCAAGCCUGAUCCGGCCAUGCCGCGUGAGUGAUGAAGGCCCUAGGGUUGUAAAGCUCUUUUGUGCGGGAAGAUAAUGACGGUACCGCAAGAAUAAGCCCCGGCUAACUUCGCGCCAGCAGCCGC
rnacentral:rRNA from 1 species